GGGGGGAGGCUGGAUCCUGGGCUGUGUCUCCGCGCCCAGUGCUCCUGGGCCUGCGCUGUUGGAUUCGCGCUCCCGGCCGUGCAGCCCCCU
rnacentral:pre_miRNA from 1 species